AUUAAAAUUAUUUAAUUAUUGGAGAAAUGGAAAAAUCAUACAUAGCGCUUGAAAUCUCAAACGCCUAAACCAAAAAAAGGAGGGAACUCCAUAAUCCGCAAGCGGCAAAACUUUCCCAAAAUACUCUCCCUCCCUCGCUCUCGCUCUCUCCAACAUUUCAAGACUACAGAAGUCGCGGGCGGAAGUAUUAUCGGAAGAGCCUCAUCAUAGCAAUCGCUUCUAAUCUGCUGUUGUCUGCUUCGAUUUAUCGCCGGAAGACCUCAGGCAGGAUUCUGUGCUCUCAAACGGUACGCAUAAUAUAAACUUUCUCCAUCCAUUAUAUACGCAUUUAGAAGCUCUAUAUGUGUGAUAUGGUGGCAGUUGGUUGAUUCUACGUGAAA
rnacentral:lncRNA from 1 species